UACGAAGGGGGCUAGCGUUGCUCGGAAUCACUGGGCGUAAAGGGUGCGUAGGCGGGUCUUAAGUCAGGGGUGAAAUCCUGGAGCUCAACUCCAGAACUGCCUUUGAUACUGAGGAUCUUGAGUUCGGGAGAGGUGAGUGGAACUGCGAGUGUAGAGGUGAAAUUCGUAGAUAUUCGCAAGAACACCAGUGGCGAAGGCGGCUCACUGGCCCGAUACUGACGCUGAGGCACGAAAGCGUGGGGAGCAAACAGGG
rnacentral:rRNA from 1 species